rnacentral:lncRNA from 1 species
GUUGACAUGAGGAACAUGAAGCCUUCUUCGCCUCUCUCCUUGAAAUCUUCCCUCACCACCAACUCUCGAACUCCUCUGUUCACAGACAUAGCUAAUGGCUGCCCCUGAGCCAUCUCUGGGCAGGUUGGAGGUCUGCCUGCAGUGUGGGCUGCACACAGAUGUCUCUGUGAGUGUGAAACGGGACAUAAUGCCUGCCAGCCACACACUAACAGGAGCCUGUCACAUCUUCCUCUGGUGGGAGAUGGCCAAGCUGGAAAGAACUAUGGUAAUGGAAUUAAAACCACCCAAGCUCCCUGCCUCACAAAGUCCGUGGUGUUUGUUCCUGCAUUCUGACAAUGUCCUGAUGCAGAGCUUCUUGAUGAGGCCCUCAUUGUGCCCCAUUGACACUGCAUAGAUAAAAGGAAGACCAUAGUAUCAACUGGUGGAAACAUAAAGCUUAUGAUGAAUGCAUUCUCUGGCCUGGUCCCAGGUUUUGUGUGUGUGCACGUGGAGGUCAGCCGAUGACCUCCAGUGUUGGUGUCUCCUGUUGUCCACAGUUGUGAACUCUAGGAUCUCUGGCCUGUGAGCUUCCAGCAAUUGUCCUGUUUCUAUCAGGACUGAAGACACUGUGCUACUGUCCCCGGCUAUCCUCUGGAGAUCUGAACUCAGUUUGUGAGGCCUCUGAGACAAGGCUUUUACUCACUGAACUAUCUCCCCGCCAUGGGUUUUAUUUGUGUUGUUUCCUCUAAUUCUCACCACAACACUAACUGAUACUGCUUAUUCUUUUGGUCCCUGGAACCAUGAUUAGAAUGCUGCCACCUCGAUGCACAAAACAAUGUGAGUUAUCUGCAGAUAUUUUUCUUUAGGUACUUGAUUUCAUUUGUCCACUAACCAGAGACUGCAGAUAAAUGCUGCCUUUGCCAAUCAC